CCUACGGGGGGCAGCAGUGGGGAAUAUUGGGCAAUGGGCGCAAGCCUGACCCAGCAACGCCGCGUGAAGGAAGAAGGCUUUCGGGUUGUAAACUUCUUUUAAGAGGGAAGAGCAGAAGACGGUACCUCUUGAAUAAGCCACGGCUAACUACGUGCCAGCAGCCGCGGUAAUACGUAGGUGGCAAGCGUUGUCCGGAUUUACUGGGUGUAAAGGGUGUGCAGCCGGGAAGACAAGUCAGAUGUGAAAUCCCGCGGCUCAACCGCGGAACUGCAUUUGAAACUGUUUGUCUUGAGUACCGGAGAGGUCGUCGGAAUUCCUUGUGUAGCGGUGAAAUGCGUAGAUAUAAGGAAGAACACCAGUGGCGAAGGCAGAUGACUGGACGGCAACUGACGGUGAGGCGCGAAGGCGUGGGGAGCGAACAGGAUUAGAUACCCUAGUAGUC
rnacentral:rRNA from 1 species